rnacentral:lncRNA from 1 species
NNNNNNNNNNNNNNNNNNNNNNNNNNNNNNNNNNNNNNNNNNNNNNNNNNNNNNNNNNNNNNNNNNNNNNNNNNNNNNNNNNNNNNNNNNNNNNNNNNNNNNNNNNNNNNNNNNNNNNNNNNNNNNNNNNNNNNNNNNNNGGCAAAAGUUCAAAUUGCCACAUCUUCAUAAGUUUAGUCUACUUUAAAACUAUGUUUAAAAAAAUAUGAUAGAUGUUGUUAUAGUUUUAAAGACUAGCUUUUAAAAUCACGAUAUAGUGGUGAAAAAUAUUCUAAAAAUAAAAGUCGACAAUUUUUAAUAACUAAAACUUAGGAAAACUAAUGAUCCAUUUACUAUAGUUUUUAAGUGUUUUUAAUAAAAGAUCUUUGAAAUUUAUGUGAGCUAGCUCAGAUUGCCUCGGCUAACAACUAAGCUUUUAAGCUAGUCGCUUUUGCCGAGUCCAGUGAGGCACGAGGACUCUCGUGUCGCCAGGACGAUAUAUAGAUAUGAUAUAUAUUUUCGUGCAUAUAAGUUUAAACCCAGACAGCUGUCUGGGUAAAAAGCCGCCUUUUUAAUCGCGAGUAAAAAGAGAAAGGCAUGCUUUUUAAAAUUUAUAUUUUUAUUUUUAUCUUUAUCUUUGGCGUUACUUAUGCAUUCAAGAGAUAUUAUUUAAUGAUUACACUUUUAAGAUUUUUUAUUUAAAAAAAUAAAUUAAAGUUUUCAUUCAAAAGAUAUUGUCUAAUGCCCACACUUUUAAGAUAUUUUUUAUAAAAGGAUAAAAUAAAAUUUUAUAGAGAAAAUCUACAGAUAUCAACCCUUAAAAAUUAUUUAAUUUUGAACCCUUUCGAUCACUAGAUAAAUGAUAUUAAAAAAUCGCAAAAAUUAUUUUCUAGAAACUUUAAAUACGCUAGAUCAAGUCUAAUGGAGCCGAUCGUCGAUUCGAAAAUUUCAUCAUUGAAAACAGCUCGGGGGCAUGGAGGCCCAACAGUCUAUAUAUAUAUAUAUAUAUAUAUAUAUAUAUAUAUAUAUAGUUAAAGUUAUUGUAAUUUCAAUUCUACAUUUAUAGCUACCCUAUUUCCAAAAACAUUCCAACAAACGGGCCGUUAGGACAGCAACAUCUCUAGUUAAUUAGAUAAAACUUUUAAAAGAUGGGAUACAUUGACUCCAUCUAGUUAAUUAUUACUGUAUCAUUCCUUUGCCAUGAAAAGUAUCAAUUUUAUAUCUAGUCACCGUGGCGGCCGCAGAAGCAGAUUUCAAAUUUCCUAUUAAAAAAAAAAUUUUCUUUUAGACAGGUUAAAAAAAAAAAUUCAUUUUUAAAAACAAACAAUACCAAUUACCAUUUAGGUAGAAAAAGAUAAUUAAACCCUCCACUCUACCAUCAUAAAUGAAAAAAAAAAAAAAAGCUAAGAGAGAAUAUUAUCAAAAUGCCUUUUUGUGGGCGCCCAAGUUGCUGUCGUCGCCGUCGCUGCGAUCGCCGCUGACGCCACCCAAUCCAUGGCUGCCACUAUCACCGCCCAAUUAGGCGCCGCCGCUUUCGCCACUCAAAAUGCCACCGCCGAAGCCAGUUUCGAAUCCCCUCAUAAAAGAGGAAAUUUGAUAAGAGAGAGAAAAGGGAGGGGGCGAGGAUUUGAAUGUGUGAGUCCCUAAAAAAGAGAGAAGGAUUUCAAGAGAGAAAAGAAUUUAGAGAGAGGAAAGAUUUAGAGAGAGAGAGAAGGAUUUAGAGAGAAAGAGAGAGAAAAAAUAAUCCGAAGAGAAUUAGAGGAGAGAGAGAAAAGAGGGGGAGAGAGAGAGGAGAGAGGGAAGAGGGGAGUGCGACAUGUGGAGAGGGCAAAGGAGAGCGCGUCAUGUAUACUAGUGUAUUACCCGCGCGAUGCUGCGGAUAUAAAAUUAUUUUUAUAAUAAAUUAUAUAUUUUUUAAUAUUUUUAUAUAGUUUUAUAAGUCUAAUUAUUAAUUAAAUACAAAAUUAUAUAAAAAUAAUUAUGUGCAAAAUAAAUUUAUACAAUAAUUUAUUUUAUAAAAUUUAUAUGAAAAGAAUUUGAGAUAAAUCAAUCAAAAUAAUUUAAGAAAACCAAUAAAUAAAAAAAAAUUUAAAAAAAAUUAUUUAAUAAAAUUAAUUAUAUAUAUACACAUAUGCACUAUAUUUCUAAAAUUUUAGUCCUGAAAUUUAAAUUCUAUAUUUUUUUAUACAGCGAUAUUUUAUGUAAUUUAAAUUGCAUUUAUUAGGUUAGAUUUUAUUACGCGAUUUAUUACGCGUAUUAUUAGAAUUUAGAGAUUUAAAAUUUUAAAUUUUGAAAAGUUUAAAAUUUGGAAAUAAAUAUUAUAAUUUAAAAUAUAAAAUAUUAAAUUUAAAAUUUAAAACUUUAAAAUUUAAAAAUAUCAAAAUUUUAAAUUUUGUAUUAUAUAUAUGUGUGUGUGUGUGUGUGUGUAGAAGGAGAGAGAAGAGAAGGGUUGGGGGGACACGCGUUAGAGAUUUAAAAUUUUAAAUUUUGAAAAGUUUAAAAUUUAGAAAUAAAUAUUAUAAUUUAAAAUAUAAAAUAUUAAAUUUAAAAUUUAAAACUUUAAAAUUUAAAAAAAUCAAAAUUUUAAAUUUUGUAUUAUAUAUAUGUGUGUGUGUGUGUGUGUGUGUGUGUGUGUGUGUGUGUGUGUAUGUGCAUAAAAGGAGAGAGAAGAGGAGGGUUGGGGGGACACGUGUCAGUCUAAGGUCCCUCCAAACCCUCCUUUAAUGUAGUUAAAUAAAUAGAUUUGAAGGAGCUCUCAAAUUAUAAAUUGUAUAGAUAGAUUGUAUAGAUGGUUGAUAUUGAAAAUAAGUACCGAAGUGAUGAAAUGCUGAAGAAAAAAUUUGAUGCGAUGCUUGGGUUUCGGUAGAAGACUAUGCCGAAGGGCACUUCGAUUUUGAUUUUGAUUUUGAUUUUGAUGUUAUGUCUAAACACACCCACUUUGACAAGUAACAGUUGGGUUCAUUUGAAUUGAGUUUUUUGAAAUUCAAGUGGGUCUGAUAGAGAACGAAAAGUUAGGAAGCAGUUGAGAAUAGAAGGAUGGCGAAACAUGGGAGUUACUCUCACAAUCACGACUACAUGCUUAUAAAAGAACAGGGAUGCCUACAAUAAAAAGGAUUCAAACAUUAAUCCAGCUCAAAUACAUAUGGGGGUGUAAUGUAGUGUGUGCCGGGUUGGCUCAGCCCACAUUAUCUGGGCCAACACGAGUUAAGGGUCGGGCAGGAUCUUCCAAGCCUCUAAUCUAGUACAGCCCUUCGGCUUAGAAGGCUCGGGCUAGGUCGGGUUCUGGGCGGCCUCUUAACUUUUUUUAUUUUUUUAAAAAAUAUAAAAUUUUAAAACAUGAAAGAUCAAAAUAAUUAAAAAAUAACCAAUACUUUAUUUUUCUUAAAAUUUUUUUAAAUUUAUUAUUUUUUUUUUCAAAAAGUGUUUUGCCCUUGGGAGGAGGGCUUGGCAACUUGCCCUGGACUUUGUGGCAUAAGCCGUACCGCUCCCGUAGCCAAGCAGUCACUUGGCCCGUUUGACAUUCUUAGAUAUUAUAUGUCAUUAGUUUCAAACUUAUUUUUAUUUAUCUACAAUUGGUAAUACUUGUUCCUGAUAGUAACUGCCGCGAGUCUAAAACUCUCCGAAGCAUGAAUUUGUGGCUACAACCCAUCAUAGAAAACCUCGCGUACUUCUCUUCAACAUACUCCAUCACUUCCCUCUCUCUUACCAUACCAAACACAAAAUUGUUCCAAUUUUGCAUAUAGGAAUAUAUAGUCAAACGAAAUGAUAGCUAUAGGAGUAAAGCUUCAUUUUUUCUUUUUACCGUAGAGGCAAUACAAAAAUAUUACACUCUCUAUAAUAUUGUACUCCUUUUUCAUAAGGUGAAAUUCUUUUUUCGUUGUCCUUGGUCUUUUUCCUGAAAAGAAUUUUCCACAUAGAUCCUUGUAUUCUAUUUUCAUUUACUGCUUUGUGGUUUAUCUAUUUUGUGAUGGUCGUUUUUUAUUUUUGUUUGCGCACUUGUCAUCCAAAAUAUGCCACAUCCUUUGAUCAAGUGGACAUGAGCUCGAUUGGAAUUUUUUAUCAACUAAUAUCAAAGCCAAUGGUUUAAACCUUUUGAUGCUCUUCUUAGAAAUAAGAUGCAUUUAGUGGCUCUUGUAAUCAUAAUUCACAUGAAGCAAAGUACACUUGGAAGAGCAUACUUAGUUGCAUACAAUCAAAUGAGUAAGCUUUAAUUUGUUAGCUUAUUGAAAGUUUGGAGGGCAUGUGUUGAGAAGUGGCAAGAAUUAUUUGCGAUGACUCAUUGAAAGAUUAGAGAAUAUGUAUUGGAGAAGAGCCGAGAAUGAUUUGACAAUGACUCACAGUGCUUAAAGGUUGUGCGUUGAAAAUGAGCCAAAAUGGUAACACAUAAGCAGGAAUUCAAACCUCUGAUCUUUAGAAUAAAUUCCCUGCUAACAACUGUCGAUCGCUCGACCUCCCUCCCUUCUAACAUCCUACUCUAGAAAACAUGUAUUAAAUAGAUGUAUAUAAAGAGAAAAUGGUUGAUUGUGGACCUUAUUUAUUAGGUGAACGUGAGCGAAUUCCACUAGGGAUGUCAACGGGGUAUGGAUACCCGAAAUAUUAUCCGAUCCCGAACCCGAAUCCGAACGGGGCGGAUUUAUCCGAGAUAAAUGGGUAUGGAUUCGGUUAUGGGUAUUAAAAAAAAAAAACCAACAGAUAUGGAUAUGGGUAUGGAUUUUGUAUUUAUCCGACCCGAACCCGAACCCGAAUAAAUUAUAUAUAUACAUAAAUUUAUUUUUAUUUAUUUAUAUAAUAUAUAAAAUAUUUAAUAAUUUUUAUCUCUUAGAUCUUCAUUCAACGGUAUGGAUUUUUAAAACCCGUCGGGUUCGGAUCCGGAUUCGGGUUUCGGCUUUUUGGUCGAGUACGGAUAUGGAUAUGAAUUUUUAAAACCCACCGGGUUCGGGUCCGGAUACGGAUUUUAAUUUGGUUUUCGGGUUUGGGUUCGGGUUUUUAAAAAUCCGACCAAAACCCGACCCGUUGACAUCCCUAAAUUCCACAUAGAUUGGAUCAAUGUGCAGAAUUUUGAAAGAUUCAAAUCCAACCGAAAAACUUAAACUAGUAAGGGAAAAUACUUUCCACAUUAUAUACAGGUCAAACUUUCAUUUUAAAUUGAAUAUGAAAUUGAUAUUCGUAGGAAAAAAAUUCAUAAGAAAUAGUUGAUUUUAUCGUCCAUUCAAAGGCAGAACACAUGCAUCUCAGCUAUUGACUGUGCUAGUUGUUAAUUGGUGGAAGUGUGCAUGCCCAACGUUUUGAAUGAUUCAAACAAUCGGCAAUGUGCAGGGCUUUAAUUUCUUCGCACCUAAUUUGCUGAAAAUCUGCAUCCACUUGAAUUCACCACUGCAUUAAUCAAUGUCUGCUUAGACACUUUCCAUGGAUAGUAAGACCUAAGUUCUUUAUUUUUCUAAUUAUUAAUUAUUAAUAAUAAUUAAUUGUGAAUCUUUCCAAUCUAAUUAAGCACUGUUUAUAAAGUAUAAAUGCCCAUACUUUGUUUAUUUUUUUUUCAAAAAAAAUGAUACUUUCACUUGUUAAAGGACUACUACAGUGAUGUGUUCCAAACCAAACAUCAUGCUUUCACCCUACCUUUCCCCUUUGUUAAGGCUUUAUCUCCAUAAAAAGGAGGCAACCCAACUUUGGCUUUCACAUGUUGGGAGUUUUGUUUGAAUAAAAGCAUACAUCCAAAGUGGGGCAUAAGUCCACCCCGAAUGUGGGGGAUGAAGCAAACAUGACCUAAUUGUCCGGCUAGGGUUUGCGCCGACUAAAGCCCUUAAGUUAAAUUAUAUAAAACAAUUAUUUUUCUAUAAAAUAAUUAUUUCUUUCAAAAGCUCAAGCAAAAUACUUAAGUACCAGAGAAUAAUAUUUUUAAUAUUUAUAUUCAAUACUACUCCUUACACUCCUCACGUUUAGGCUUAAAGAUGCUUUGCUUCGCCGAAGACAUGAACUAAAAUUAAAUGGUCCACACUUUGACUCGUGUCUAAACUUGAGAUAAGCCCAAGACGUGAACUUAGAUUAAAUUGAAAAAAAUUAAUUAAAGUUAGAAGCUUCAUGAAAUUCGAAUUCUGAAUCUUUUGUUCUAAUAUCAUAUUAAAUUUAUAUUAAUAUUUAUAUUCACUUUAUUUGUAAUGACACUUUCGACCUCUUUGGUAUGCUUGAGUUUCCAUAAAAGCAUUAUUUUAAUUUUCCGGUUUUUAAGAAAGAAAAACUGAAGUAUACUUUUGGUCAUCAAACUAUUAUUAGGUGGGUAAAACUAUAGUUCUGAAAUUUUAAUUCGUUAUAAUUUUAUAGUAAGAACUUUUUAAAUAGUUAUAAUUAAUUCACACAGUCUAAUUUAGUUAAUUGGAGAUUGAUAUAUCCUUGAUGUGGUAUGUUAUUCAUUGCCAUAUCAUUGCCGCAUUUGCGUCACCAUAAAAUUAAUUACGAUUACGUAGAAAGUUUGAGCAAAAAUCAUAUCAAAUUAAAGUUUGGAAACCAAAGCAUCUUAGUUUGUAUAAUUUCGCAAAGAAAGUAAUAAAUUGAAUCUUCUAUUUAUAGCUUCCAUGACAAGAGUUUAGAAACAUUAAUUUUAUGUAAUAAAAAAGAUUCUACUUAUGGCUCUUCACAUUAAUUAAACAGCUCUUUUUUAAACAACAUUUCUUUAUAGCAUAUGGCUUAGCAAACUUUAACAUGAAGCAAUUCAAUUUGGAUUAUUUAACUUGUAUAUUCAAAAUUACUGAUAAUUUCUGCAUGAAAUAGUUUUUAAGGAAAACUACUAUCUUCAUCAAAUUAUCCAAAUCGAAAGCAUGCAAAUAAAUCAUGAUAACUCGAAUUGGAUCACGAAAUCAAACUCUAUGUAGUGUCCCUGGUGUUCUGCAGCCCGUUUAAUUUCAGCAUCUGAGGCUUGUCGACACGUCUGGCGAGUGUCGAAAUAAAUCGGAGUCGUUUUGGCACGAAAUGGACGCAAAACGGACUCAAUGCGACGUGAGAGUGGAACUCUGACACCGAAAUCUGUAAAAUAUAGGAUUUCAGUGUUGAGUACCAGUACCUGAGAGGAGUACCGGUAACUAAGUGGAUGGCAAAGAUAGAAGCUCUCGGGUUUGUGCGUAUUUGAUGCUGAGUACCAAUACCUGGUUGUCGAGUACCGGUACCGAGUUCGAGUACCGGUACAGCAUCGGGCGAGUACCGGUACCAAGUGUGCGAGGCUGCGGGCUGAGGGGCCGGGUACCGGUAUUGGAGUUGGGUACCGGUACCCCAGCUAGAUUUUUGAGUUGGUAAGGGGUAGUUUGGUCUUUUGAAGUGAUGUUCACCCCAAUGUUUAUCCUCAGCUUUUAUAUACUUGUAGAGAGCUCUGAAGGAAAGUUUUUGUUGCUGCUCUCUCUCUCUCUAGUUUUGGACGUUGCUCGUGGUGAAGGUCGCGGCUCAAGCUCGGAUAGAUUUCAACGUUGCUCCGGAGGGCAGUUCGAGCGCGUGGACGUCACAGUUACGCCGUUGGAGGCCGGGCGAGCGCGUGGAUUCCCUUCUUUCGACUUCUCACCGUGGUUGGACGAGCUUUUCGAGAUAGGUUGAUGUUUAUCGAAAUUGUCGGAUUUCCUCCUAAGUCUUAACAUCGUCAACAUGUUUCAUUGGUUUUAUUUCUUUUGCUAGUACUCAAAUUCAUGAAAUUUGUAUGUUAGAGUAUAAAAUCUGAAUUUGGAAUUAAGUUAGUGAUGGUAUACAUGUUAAACUUGAAAAUUGACUUAGGAGAAAACUAUUAAACCCUACACUGUCAUUUUUUGAAAAUUAUCAGUUUUAGCUUUAGCAUUUGUGGUUCUUUUGUAUUGCUGCUGUUAGUAUGCGGUGGAUACCUAGAUUAGUGUAGGUUAAGGUUAUGCUCGUGCUGGGAUGCCGAGUUCUUUUUACAAUAAUGUGUAGACUGUUUCGUACUGUCAGGUACUGUUGCGGUUGAUGGUUAAUCCAGAUUUCUGUAUCUUGCAUCAGAUUGUGCCAAGGGCACGUGAGUUUUGGUUGUUAGACCAGUUAGACCUAUUUGCAUUGACUAUAGCCUGUGAGAGCCUGAUUGAGCUCGACAGAGACACGCUUGCAUACUCGGUUGGGUCGCGCCCACGAGUGCCGCUCCUUAAUCUGGCUUCCUUGCUUUGCGUUGGUGUCGUAAUAGUCUGGUUUAGACAUUGCUCUUCGCCGGCCGCCCUCGAGACGGUGUACGGUGUAGUUUAGACAGGCGGGACGGGUGUAUCACAGUCCCUAGUGAGAUUGGGUCAAUGAGAUGCAUAUUUAUAUCUACAGAUAGCCUAUAGUGGUUAGCGAUAGUAGAGUGGCAUGUAGCUAUAGAUUUCUUUCCAGCUUUCCUUACUAUCCUUUGCACAUAUUUCUGUAGACUUAGUGGGUGAGCCGUUGAUGUCGGUGGCGAUACCCACUGAACACUACUCUGUUUUGCAGUAGUUCUAACACCCAGUUGUUGCCCCUCUUUGCAGAGCCUUCGUCUGUGGCCGCUGCCAUCACUGAUUCGGAUCGUGGAAAAGGAGUCGCGAGCUAGAUCUCUACUAGUCGUGGUGCUGUGCUAGAGGAGUACCUUCCACAAGUAAUUUUUGGGACUUUCUUGUACAUAUAGUUAUGCUGUCGGGGUACUCGCUGAAGCGAGUUUAUGUUGUGGAUAUUUUGUAUGUACAGGAACCUCUUGAGGUUAUGUUUAUUUUUUUUCCGUUUAGCAGUUCUAUAUUACUGGUUGUAUUUAUGUUGUGAUUACAAGUACAUCUAUCGCUUCGUAUACACGAAAAAUUCUUAUGUAUACGGCGGGUCUGUUGGCGUGCCCAGAAAAACAUGGUAAUCUGGGUCGUGGCACCCUAAAACUUAAAAAUAUUGAGUCAAGAAUUUACAUUUUAAUCAAAAAAUAGCAUUGCUAACCGUUUCAUUCAACGGGUGAAUAAAUUCAGCAAUAUAGUUGAGGCAACGGGCUUUGAAAAUUAUAAAAAGUAAAAGAGUCUCAUGACUUGGUCUUUUUUUUUUUUUUCGUUCGAAGGUCUAAACUUAGGGGUGAAAGUAGUUAGGAUAAACUCCAAUUGAAUCCGACACCGGAUAUAACGAAUCGUAUUUCGAAACGAAAGCCCCCCUCAGUUAAUUAUUUCGAAAUGUUUCAUCGUCUAGCCACAAUCAAGGACAAAGAGUAUCAUCAAGAUUUUGGGCCUAAAAAGAUGAGAUGAAUUACGUAUUACGAAAUACAUGUUCGGAUAUAUUUGAUGAAUCCCUACUUAUUAGAUUAUCCAUUUUUCUAGUACAAAUUUUCUAGUAGAAAAGAAUGGAGUUGGGAUCCAUACGCAUACGAAAUACUUUUGGUAUACAGAUGGUAUACAAAAUUUUCUUCUUUUCUUAAUUAUAGUAUAGUUUAUUAUAGUUAUUCCAUAUACGCCCUCCUGCUUUUUUGUUUUAUUCUAUGGGACUCGUGAUAACAAAGAAUAGGGAGUUAUAGAGAUGGGGGGAGACGGAGGGACACGGAAACGGAAGGGAAGACAGAGGGAUGGGAGUUAUAUAAAAAGAGAUGGUAAACAAGCCAUCUAAAUAAGAAAAAAAAAUUCCAAAGUAAUGACGUUGCGCCACGCCAACAAAAUUAUUGAAAAAUUAUAUAUUGUUUAUAGAUUUAAUAAUUAAAACUUUAUAGGAAUAUAAAUAUAAUUUUAAAUCGUUAUAGGAAUGCAUAUAAAAUUAUUCUUUUAGUCUAAAAUGGGUAUUAUUAUUGAAAUAAAUGAUGAUACAAAGAUUAUAGUAUCCAGGGAAUUCAUGGAUAAGGUGGAUUUGUUCUGGGCAAUAAUUUUCCUUAUUGGAGACAUUGGGGGGGACAAAUCCUGGCACUCUUUUAGUGCUCAAUCUAGAAUUCUUAAGGCUGUACUUGGCUAUCCUACAAUUUAUACAGUAAAUUUUAAGUUUCAUCUUAAAUCUAGCUGGUUUGCAGGUCAAUUUGAAUAUAAAUCGUUCAACAUAUAGGCGUGUUUGGUUCGAAGUCGGAGUCGGAAUCGGAAUCGGAAUCGGAAUCAGAAUCGGAAUCAAAAUAAGCUGGAAUCGGAAUCGAAAUGACUCAUUACCUAAUUUUGUUUGGUUCAUCACCUGAAUCGGAAUCGGAAUAAAUUAUUCCCAUUAUCGAUGUUUGGUUUAAGUGGAUAUAAAAAACGUAAUCAAAUUAAUAUACUAACAUUAUCUUUAUAAUAUAUUAAUUUAAAUUCAAAUUAAAUAUUAAAUAUUAAAAAUUUACAUCAAAAUUUUGAAAUAAUGUCAAAAUUUUAAAUCUAUUUUUUUUUAAAAAAAAAUUAAACUUUGAAGUUGAGUGAAUAAUUCAAAAUAUGAAACUAAAUUUUGAUUUAUUCAAAUUCAAACUUAAAAUUCAAUUUAAAUUUUAAUUUGAAUCCAUAAAUUUAAUUUAAGUUGAAAUAAAAUUUGAAUAAAAUUUAUUAUAAAUUAAAUAUUUAAUUUAAAUUCAAACUCAUAAGUUAGAUUCGAAAUCUUGAUUAAAUUUUAAUUUUUAAUUUAACUUCAAAUUAAAAUUUAAAAUUAUAUAUUUAUUUUUUAAAUUUUAACUCAUAUUUUAAUUAAAAAAGUUGAAAAAAUAAAUUUAAUCGAAAUAAAUAUCCAUUCUGUCCGGAUUCAACUUCCAAUCCGGCCUUCUAGGCCGGAUUGAAUAAAUAGUGAUUGGGGAUUCCAUUCCACUAGGGAAUCGGAAUCGGAAUGGGACUCCCGCGUAUAAACACCCACAAACGGAUUCACCCAUUCCGAUUCCAAUUCCAGGGUGAAAAAGAAGCGAACCAAACACGCUCAUUAGAUUAAAAUGGAUCAGAGUUCAUCUGGGGGUGCUACUAAUAGCACCAAACACUUAGGGCUUGUUUGGUUUAAGGGUGGAAUUGGAAUGAAAUAAUGGAAUGGGAAUGAAUGAAAUGGUAAUUGGAAUGGCCCACUCUUCCAAGACGUUUGGUUUAUUUGUGCAUUGGGAAUUGAAAUGAGCUAUUCACAUUUUAUUGUUUGGUUCGUAUAAACUAAAAAAUUAUAGAAUACUAUACAUACUAAUUUUACUCUCAAAUAUAAAUUUUAUUAUUAUUUGAAAUUUAUGAAAAAUAUAAUACUAUUCCUAAUAAGUUUUCAAAAAAAUAUCAAUUAUUUUAAAAAUUUUUUAUUGAUGUGGUUAGGAAUUACGUUUUUGAGAAAGAUAGAUUUUUUUUUUUUGAUGAGAAAGGGGUGAAGAGAAGGAGGGUGAGAUGGUCACAUGGGCUUCGAGAUCUUAGUGGGCUUCCGGAAUGAAAUCUUAAUCCGGACUAGAAGACCGGAAUCAAGUUGAAGGCUAAUGGGCCAUUCCCAUUCUAGUCCGGAAUAGGAAUCCCAAACCGAUUUAUGCGAAUCAAACAAAAUUAACCAGAUUUGAUCAAACCGAUUUUCAUUCCAUACCCAAAAUGGAUGAACCAAACAAACCCUUAUUGUUAUCAAGUUUUCCACUGUUAGAUUUAUUCUUUUGAUCAUUUUUAUCUAUUUGAUCAUAUUAUUCGACCAACCACCUACCUAACUCUAAAAGGUCGCUAUCAUCCUAACCACAUAUUUUUUUUUUUUUUCUAAGGACCGAAAACUGAAUAGCACCAAUGACAUGAUGCCAUUAGAAACAUUUCAGCCUAAUUCAGAGGAUCGAUCCAUUUAUAAUCCAAAUCUAAUUAAGCUAGAUACAAACUUAGUAAUUUCACGUCGAAUCAUGGACCUUGUCAAGAAUUACUAUCUCUAUGGAAAAAUCAUAGCCUCUGUCUAGAAUUCUGAAGAGUGAAUUCUGCUGGCCGUUCCAUAAUUUCUGAAUGAGAAGAAAUGUGGGAAUAAUUUGUGAAUGAGAAGAAAUCGGGGAAUAAUUUUCUGCACCUACUGCGUUCUUAAAACCUUGCAAUACUCAUAUGUUCUGUGUCCCUCCCUAUAUUAGUUAAUUCGCAAAUUAUUCACAAAUUUUUGAAGAAACGAAUUAAACGGCCGAAUUCGUAUUUUUCCGAAAAAUUCGAAAAAAAACACGUUUUUUGGUCAAAAAUACUUAUUCACGAAUAAUUCGCGAUGGCCGAAUUAUUCGGCUAAAAAUUCAGCUCGCCGCUCGCCGCUCACUGCUCGCGCCCGCUUUUGCGCUCCCCACGUGCCCGCGCACGCGCCCGCGCUCGCGGGCAGCUCGCCGCCCGGCUCACCCAAAACAGAAAACAAAAAAAAAAAAAAAAAAAAAAAAAAAAAAAAAAAUCUCUUAUGGACUAUCUUAAUCUCUUAUUUGCUUAUUUAUUUAUUUAUUUUAAGUCAUAAUAUAGUUUGCUUUUUUUUUACUUAAUUAAUUUAAUUUUGUAGCUCUUUAUUCUUAUGUUCUUAAGAAAUAUGAGUAGUUAUGCUAAUAGCAUAAAUUUUGAGAAAAAAAAAAUUUAAUUUAAUAGGCGAAUUUUUUAUCCCGAAUUUUUAAUUGGUGAACGUAAAAUAUCCAUAUAAAUCAUGUAUCCGAAUAAUUGGCGAAUCUGUUUUUUAGCCGUAUUUUUCAACGAAUUUAAAAAUUAGAAGACGAAUUUUAUUCGAAUUAUUUCCGUACCGAAUUUUUGCCAAAUCCGAAUUAACUAACUGUGGUCCAUCCUACCAAAAUACUCAUAGUCGGCUAAGUUGCAGUCUUUUCUAUCAUCGAGAAUUGGGGGAAUGUUUUUAUGACCUGAUAAUAAGGUUAGAAAACAAAGUGCAGUUUUUAUAUAAAAAUCUAAAAAUCCCAAAUGAUGCAAAUCCAUCUAAGUUGGAAUAGCACGGCAUACGAUACACUUUUUUUUUAUUUUUUUGAGCCGGUAAUAUUGUCAAAUUACAAACAUAUCGAUCUAAAUCCAACAUUGCCUCAAGAAAUGGUAAUAGUUGAAUAUGAAUGCCGAAGCCACCCCUAACGGAGAACUGUUGUGCCAGUCAGAACGAUUUGGCAUAAUCGAUAAGCCCAUGUUGGUUGUAUCUUUCAUGCUGAUAAAUUCGUGUCCUCUAUACCUAAUGUACAAGAUAUGUCGAAUGACAUUUUGACAGAUAUCAUGUCAAUGAUACAACAAUCUUGUUCUCAACUUGAAUUGAAACUUCAACUAGCAUUCAUAGAAAUGCUAGCUGCAGUGUACAAAAGUUAUCGAUUUUUCGGUCUUUCCACUAAUCCACCGCACUUCGAGUUCUGCGUUUGUUGCGGCUAGCACCAGCCUGUUGUCACGGACAAAAUAUUUUCUGCUGGCUUCUCCUUGACAGUGGCCCAACUUCGCUAGCGGAGCGGGUCGUUAAAGUGACCCGAACCCAACCCACUAUGGAGAGAUGAGGGGUUUUGUAACUUCUCCCAUCAAUGAUGGAAAUUCAAGGGUUAUGAAACUCCAUGGGGUGACUCUUAGGCUUUUGGCUCAUUAUGAGGGUGAGUUAAUGUGUCUCAUAAUGAGAGAGUUAGUAUGUGUCUAGAUUCAUUACAUCUAGGAGCUUAUAAGUAGUGGGGUUUGGUUAAGGUCAAAACACACAAGAGAGAGUGUGUAUGUGUGGAUUGUAAUUCUCAUUUCUAAGUAGUGUAUUACUUAGUUUUUUGAGAGAACCUCUGUCUCUUUCUCUUUGUCAUUUUCUUUGCAUACUUAAUCGUAGGGCGCGAAGGUCCAGGCUAACAAUAGGGGCGAAGGUUUGCCCAUCUUCGAGCAGGAAGGCGGGCGCCGCACGGACUUUACGAACAGAACCGCUAAGGUCGCGACACUGUGCUGCUUAUCGAGAUCCCUCUCGUGUCCAAUAAGAUCAUACCAUUCGUAUCAAUGCGAAGCGUGCUGAAAAAUACGUCGGCACAUUCUGUGCCAAUAGUACGACAAUUCUCUCCCGCAACUUAAAUGGAACUGCCGAAUAGCACACAGAGCGGCGCACAGAUAUACACACACAUGCACAGAGUGCAUGUAAAAACAUAUUCGGGCAGCUGAGAGGGAAAGAGGUCGGCCGUUUUUUCUUGUCUUCCCACUCACCCGCCGCGUUUUACGCGAUCGCAUUCCCCGUCAGCCACCCCAUCCCGCGCCGUCAUUUCCUCCCACGCCUUCCCCCGCACGAGCUCGUCCUCCGUGUAACGGUUACGUAUCACGCCUCUAGUACAUGUGGGCUCCACUUGUCAGUCUCACAACUUGUGAUAUGCAACCGUUACACCGAAGGAUGCUCGCCCUCUCCGGCUGAGUUGCGUUCCCAUUAAUUUUUUGCUUUUUUGAAUAAUUUAAUUUAAAUAUUUAUAAUUAAAGCAAUUGUUACGCCGUGGCCUGCUGAGUGGACGAACCCACCACCGUCAAAAAUUACUUUUUCAAUUUUUUAUAUUUUUUUUUUAACCGUCAAAAUCACUUUUUAUUGUGCGAGAUUACCUGAAGCAAAUUUUGAAAUACACCCCUUAGUUUUUUUUUACUCUCUUCAAAUUCCUUUUUUUUUUAAAAUUAGCCAUUAAUCAACUCAGUAUUAUUCGGUAAAAAGUAAAUAAUUAAGAAAAAAAAGUUAAUUUGAAAAUAGCGUGUAGUUGAGGGGCUUUAUCAUACAAAUUUUUCAUGUUUCUUUUCAUCUACCGGAGUCGGGUUCGGAUCAGAAGCUCCAAAACGAUCCACGUGGAGAGGGUCAGUUUCGACCGUCCGAUUCGUGUCUCGUGACGGGUCGAUCCAAAUCCCCGGGCCCACGCUUGUCGACCCGUAAAUCCUACGUGUCGGAUCGCCAUAAGAUUGCACAAGAGCCUCGGCCGUUUCCCUGAUGGCAUUUUCGCAAUUAGAGUCCGAAUUUCGGGCAUUUCGUAAAUUUCGUGCUCAGUAACGAAACCCACCACCCACGCUCUCGCUAUUUAAACGCCCCGAGUACUCCAAAUCCCCAAAUUCCAAGGAAAGAGAAAAUGGCUUCGAGAACCCUCUUCUUCUCCUUCUUCGUCUUCGUCCUCCUCCUCCCCGAGUUCGAAGCAUCGAUUACGUCAGCCCUAGGCGAGGGGAGGAGGAGCUCGACGUCGUCGUCGUCGUCCUCGUCUCCGGCGCCGGGGCCGCGGAACUCGACGGCGUUCAUCCGCGCGAGCUGCGGCGCGACGCUGUACCCGCGGCUCUGCUACGCGUCGCUCUCGACCUACGCGGACUCGGUCGCGGAGAGCCCCGUCGCGCUCGCGCGCCUCGCCUCGAACGUCACCGCCGCGCGCCUCCGCGCCCUCUCCGCCCGAGUCGCCGCCCUCCGCCGCCGCCGCGCCGCGCCGCCUCCUCGGGAGGCCGCGGCGCUGCGCGACUGCUGCGAGUCGGCGGGCGACGCCGCCGACCUCGCGCGCCGCGCCGGGGCGGAGCUCGCGCGUCUCGACGCCGGCGCGGCGGCGGCGGCGGCGGCGGGGUCGGGGGCGGCUUGGAGGGUCGCGAACGCGCAGACGUGGCUGAGCGCCGCGCUCACGAACGAGGACACUUGCGCGGACGGGUUCGACGCGGUGGCGCCGGGCCCCGGCUCGGCGAAGGGCGAGGUGCUCGCGCGCGUGCGCAGGGUCAAGCAGUACACCAGCAACGCCCUCGCCCUCGUCAACACCCUCGUCGCCGCCACCCACGGCCCCUGAGAUCGCAUCGCAUCGCAUCCCAUCCAUCCUUCCAUCGCUCUCCCCCGUCUGAUCUUAUCUCAACGGUUCGAUCGCCCUUAUACAUUCCGUAAUAAUUAAUGCUAAUUAAGGUAGUGUUGUUGAUACGAAAAUCGAUAUUCGAUAGUGAGUGUAUGGAUAGGGGAAAUGUUUCUCUUUUCCCAUGUUAUAUAUAUAUAUCUGAUGUAAGAGCUCUUUAAACAACUCGUCUUGUAGCUUUUUUUUUUUUUUUUUUUUUAAUCUUCUUUUUUCUUAUAUAUUUACUCUUUUUCUAUAGAUAAAAAAGCAAGCACUCAGAAUUUAUAUACAUAUAUAUACGUAGAGCUCACGAUUAUAAACGAUUUGUACGGCAAAAAAUUUUGCCUAUUAAACUGUACACAAUUCGAAUCCCGCAAUUACCGCCGUUGAACUUUAGUACUUUGAUUGUUAUGUUAGAUUUUGUUAUGUGGUGCUAUUUCAUGGCGUUUGUUUCAACAUUAUUGCAUAGAUGCAUGUACGACAUGAAUUUAUUGAGAUCGAGGUUUUUUAUCAUAGUAUUUUUUAGGGUUUUAGGGAUAAUUGGUCGCAACUUUUAGAAUUACACUUUUUCGAUCCUAGGUUAAUUUAUUAUUUUUCAAAAUUAUUUUGUUUUAUUUUUAGUCAAUUUAGAAAAGAGAAGGUGGAUCAACCUAAGAAUAAGAAGAUAAGAGAUCGAAUUCGGUUCAACACUAGGACUAGAAUGUUCUUUAUGUAACAUUAGGCUGCGUUUGGUUUGGUUCGGUUAUAACUAAAAAUUGCUUAUCCAGGUACAGGUAAAAUUUAAGAUAUAAACAGGAAUUAGAUCAAUUUUGCGUUUGGAUGAAAAUUAUAUUAUUUCUAGGAAUAAGGUAAGUAAUUGGAUGGUUAGGAACAAAAAGAAUAAAAGUUAUAAUUUUAAAUUAAAAUUAUUUUAUCUAAUUAAUUAACAUCAAAAUAUUACUUUAAAAAUAAAUUAAUAUUAAUAAUUAUAAAUAAUAAAUUAUUUAAAUAAUAAUAAAUUAUAAAUAAAUAUAGAUUAUAAAUUAUAAAUUAAUUAAUAAAAAAUUAAUUAGAUAAUAAAUUAUAAAUAAAAAAUUAUUAAUAAUUAUAAAUUUUAAAUUAUAAAUUAAUUAAUAAUUAAUUAAUUAAUUAUAAAAUAAUAAACUAAUUAUUUAUUUAUUUUAUUAUUUAAGUAAUAAAUAAUGAUUUAAAUAUAUUAAUUAAAUUAAUUAAUUAUUUAAUAUCAUAAUUAAAAUUAUUUUUAGACUUUAAUUAAUCUUGUUCUCACUUGAAAACAAACUUGUUUUAGAAAAAAGAUGGAACGGCAGUUCCAGUCUUAUACCGGUUUAUUCCAGAAAUUCGAAAACUACUGUUCUCAAGUACUAAACGGAUCGUUUGGAAACAAAGGGAGGAACAAGGACUUAUUCCCCCUUUGUUCUCCAAUCAAACGCUACCAAAUAGAACCGGAGAGGUGGGCCCACUUUCAAGAAUAAAGAUGGUAUGUUCCGUGUACAAAUUAUUUAGGAUUAAUAGAUAACUAUAUAUUAUAAUUAUAAAUAACUUUAUUUUUUGAUACAUUUAAUUAUAAAAAAUUGACAACAAAUACUAUUAAUUAUAGAAAAGUAGUGAGGCCUCGGUAUGCAGUUAUUCUUAAGAAACUAUCAUCUGUAAUAUGUCCAACGUGUACAAGCUUUGGCUGGUUACUUAAACUCAAGUCUCUGAAUCAUGCGGAAAACGACUGUGUCACAUUUAUACCAUAUCAUAAAUAAUUAGUCCAUCACCUUUUUUUUUUUUAAGAGAAAAGCAUAAUAAAAUUUUUUUUAAUAACCAUAAUGGAAUGGGUCCAAAAGAAAUAAUAUAAUUGGUUUUGAAAACACCAUAUUAGGAAUAUAGCCGUACAUUCUUGUUAAGAGCCAAACGUCCGGAUCCUUGAUCUAAUCAAAAAUCUCUCUCGAAAAGCAUGCAGGAAUGCGGAACGGUUGUGAAUAGUGAUUCUCGAAGUUUGCGUCAUUCGACUGGAUCAAGCGAUUCGGCUGAUGAGGGAUCGGAUCAGCCGAGUUCGAAAAUCUUUACUGUAGAUUCAAUUCGGCUGGAUAAACCGAAUUGAUAAAAUGCACAGAGUUUUGGGUUGGCUGAUGAGCAAAAUAGAUGGAAUACACAGUGACUGAUCGGCUGAAAGAGCCAAAUGCCUUUAUAUAUAUAUUAAAAUGAAGUUGGGAAUUCAUACAAAACAGAGUGUGCCCGAAGGACAUACAGACUCUGAAAAUCUAGAUUACAACAGAGUUUGCCCGUGGGGCAUACAAACUUCAGAUAUCUAACUUAAAAACUACUUCUAGAAAAGACGGUAAAUGCGGAUAAAAAAGAUUACAUGUAGACUACUCCUAAAAAAGCGAUAAAUGUAGGAAAGAAAAGUAUUGAAAAUGCGGUGGUCUUCUCAUUCAGGGGAGAGAAAGAACCCUACUACAGGCUUCAAAGUUACUACUUGUAAUAUCUUAUCAGCCAUAUUAUUGGUUGGUUAUAGUAGUAGAGAAAGUGAUGUAGCCAUGAUCAUGAAAGUUACGCCACAUUUCUUAUGAAAGUUACGCCCCACUUCUCAAACAUUCCCGCCUAAACGCUCUUGACCUUCAGGCGUCUUAUUGCCGACUCCUGAUGUACCACGUGUCUUUAUUUUUUUGACUCAUACGUGGAUUAGGUCGGCACGUUAAUUUUUUGGUAUCAACAAUCCUAGAAUUUUUUUUUUGUAAAUUAGGGCCCUUGUAGGGCAUUAAUUUUGGGGUUAAUUACACCAUUUUCCCCCAACCUCUGUUCAAUGUUUAAAUAUUUUGCGAUAAUUAUUCACGCAGUGGUCCAGUGGAAGUCAAUCUUAAAGUUAGGCUCAAUUACACUUUUGUUCCCCAAACUUUCAAGAGAGUGAUAUUAUAGUCCUCCCUUUAAGUUGUUUAAAUUUUUUGUUCAAACUUUUUAGAUUGUUGUAAUCAAGCUCAUGAUCGUAUUAAGUUGAUUAAAUAGUAAUGUAUUGCAAAUGCCAUAGUGAUGUGAUAAUGCAAUGAUUAACAAUAUGACAAAUGACUAAAUACAACAUUAUUGUUAUAGAACAUCAUUGUUAUACAACCAUAUAUCAGCAUUUAGUCAAUUAAUUUAGACUAUGAGACUAAACUGUAAUAAUUCAAAAAUUCAAAAAAAAAAUUCUAUGGAAGUUUGAGAACCAUAAUAUCACUUGCAUCAUAGUUUGAAAAGCAGAAGUAUGAUUUGUUCUUAAAUUUACAGGGAAAGAAUAAUUUUUGGCUUGCAUUUUCACGACAAUGUUAGACACUUUUUUAGGGCGCAAAAUUCAAGUACGAACUGUGAAGGUCUCACUUCUCAGGAUCCAAGAAGAGUUUUGUGUUGUUGAGACAGUUUCCACUGAUUUUUUUUUUUUUUCCCCUCUCCAGUUGAUGAUGUGAAAAGUAUUAUGUGUGGCCUACUAACCUCAGAAGAUGUUAGCUAGGCAAAUUUAUUUGGUUUUAUGCAUUUCAAACUACAACUUUGGAUUAAAACACAGGCAUGUUCAAGAAGUUUGUUUAUUUCGCUGUAAUUGCAAUCAAAAUUAGACUUGUUGAAAAAGGCUCCACUUCGAUCUAUAUCCAAAUUGAAUAAAGUUGUAAAUUUGGGAGAGUAAUCUCACCUGCCUAGUCAUCUGCUAAAGAAAAAGAGGUAAACUUCAUAUACCACCCCCGUGUAUGCACUUUCUCACUUUAGUAUCUUGUGGUUUAAAGUGCAGCAAGUUAGUAUUCUAUGGUUUCAUUUUUAUCUUGUCAUCAGCUUUCCCGUUAAUAUUUCAUUAAAUUGUAUGCAAAAAAUUUCAAAUACUCCACCUAGAUUUAUCGAAUAUUCACUUUAGUAUCUUUUAGUUUUAACUUUUUUAUUGAUUUGACGAAAAAAAUUAGUAGAUUCUGUAAUAAAAAGAUAAAACUAAAACAUAGGAUACUAAAUUGAUACAUUUAAAAGUUAGAAAGUGUGAAACCACAGGAGUGGUAUUUAAAGUUUUUCCAAAAAAAAAGCUUUUUCCUCUUGAUCACUCGUAUAGAAAACAUGAAGAGUAAAUGCAGCAUUCAAUUACAACCGGUCAAGUAAAUGUUAUUUUGUUUAUGGAUUAAUUUCAUACAUAUUUCUGCAAACAUAGUAAAUGACAAAUAUAUCUCUACAAAUAUAUUUUUCUGGUUUGUUAUCGUUAGUGAACCGUUUAUAUUUUCAAUUUUGGCAUCACAAAUAUAUCCUUCCAAAAGCUAUACUAGUAUAAUAUAAAAGGGUAAAAAUAUUAAAAACUGAUUAGGGUUAAACCAGAGGAACAUAUUUGUAGGGAUAUAUUUGUUAUUUAAUCUAUGGUUAACUAACUUUUUUCUAACGAAUUCUAACGGCAGAGACAUAUUUGAAAAUAUCAGGACUUUUGUAGGAACAAUAUAUGAAAGUUGAAUUUUGUAGAGAUAUAUUUAUUAUUCACUAUAUUUGUAAGGACAUGCAUGAAAUUAACCUUUUUUUUUUAUUGUAACACUCUAAUUACAAACUAUCAAGCUAGUUAACUGUAAAUGUAACUACUACUUGUCCAAUUGCAUGUACAUCUCGUUACGUUCUAUUUGCAGCCAACGGUUGUACUCUAAAAAGAAACUUAAGCUGUUGGAGAACAGUGUUUAUAUAUUUUUAUAUUUAAUACUCUCCCUCGCAUUUGGGUCGAGACUUUUCGCUAGACUCAUGAUGUAAACUUGAAUUAAAUAGAAGAAAAAUUAAUAAUGUUAGGAUCCUGACGUGACUCGAACUCUGAACCUUUUGAUACCAUGUAAAAUAAACAUUGUUUUCUAUAAACUUAGACUGUUAGAGAAUGGUAUUUAUAUUAUUUUAUAUUUAACACAGCUAUAUUUAGCUUAAUGGCCUCUAAAAUGGUUAAUUAGAAACAACCAUCAACCCUUAUGGUAGCGAUAAUCAUCAAGACAUUUUGCUUCUCAAAUAUUAAUUUAUUAUAAUUCUUUAUUUAGAUUUUUCAAAUUAUUGCAAUUAAGCCUCAUAAUCAGUUUAGUUGACCAAAUAUUGAUCUAUUGGUAAUAUAAAAGUGGUAUAGUAGUAUUAUCUUUGAUAACAUGAUAAUGACUAAAAUAUCACACCACUUGCACAUCAACGACGUAUUAAAAUUUCGUCAACUAAAUUGAGCUGUGGGACUUGACUAUAGUAUGCUAUAAAGUCCGAGUCAAAAUUUACAAUAAAUUAAAAUUUGACAACUAAAGUGUUAUGAACCUUAGGGUGCGUUUGGUUCGCACUAUCUUUUUAAGAUUUCUAGUAAUUCAAUAGGAAUAAAAAAAAUGACAGUAUUUGGCUAAACGCACUAAGUAAUUUAGUUGGUAAUAUUGGAUUUACUUGGGAAUGAGAUUCCUCCCAAAGUACUAAUCUCAUUCCUUUGAGGGAUGGUGGGUAUCCUUAUACUAAUGGAUUGGGAUAAUUAUAAUAUGCUAAUCUCUUUCUUUCUUCCUACCCGCCGGCUAGUUAGUAUUAUUUUUCUUUACACUCCAACCUCAUCUCUCUCUAAACUUAUCUUUUUCUCUCCAAACUUCAACUUUUUUUCUCUCUCUAAACUAAGCUCUCUUCCCCUCUUUUUCUAAAAUCUCAACUCUCUCCCUCUAAUCUCGACUCUAUUUCUCUUCCUAUUUCUUCAAUUAUGUUAUCUCUCUCUAACCCAUGUUCUCUCUCUUUUUUUUCUAAAAAAAUUGUUGAAAUUUUUUUUAGCAUUAUCUAAAAUUAAUUAAAGAAAUAAAUAAAUUAAUUGUAUUUUUUUUUGUAAUCUUAAAUAACAUAACUAAAUAAUAUGACUGUACGAACCAAACACAGGAAUGCCACAUUCUUAAUAAUAGUGUGAGAUCUCUGGUGUUCAGCAGUAAAGGCUUGUCGACAGCUCUGGAGAGUGUCGGGACAAGUCUGAGUGGCGUUGGCGCGAAAUAGACGCAAAAUAGACUCUGUGCGACGCGAGAGCAGCAUUUAGCAACAAAAUCUGCAAAUAGCUGAUUUUUUACUUGCUGUACCAGUACAGCCAUCAUGGUGUACCGGUACACUGCACAGGCUACGCGCAAACUGCUCUUGGGUUGGCUUCUUGUAUCGGUACGCCAGGGUAGGUAGGAGGUUUUUUUGGUCUUUUUCCACCUCGUUCGUGGCACCCUUUCCCUCUCUCUCUAUUUAGGCUUGUGUAGAGCUGAGAGAGAGAGAGUUUUCACUGUCCCUCUUCUCCUCUCUCUCUAGCUUGGACCGUGGGCGAGGAGGAGCUCGGGUGGAGUUCGUUUGUCGUCGACGUCGCGCCGCGGUGCCAUUUGAGUGUGUUUUCUUCGUCGUGGUGCUGCGAGGAGGCAGGGUGAGCGUGGUUUUCGCCGUCCUCGACGUUGGGCAGAUUCCUGAGAUGUUUUCGAGGUAAGUGAUCCAUCGAAAUCACUUCAAUUACUUCAAGCUCCAUCAAUUUCGGACUAGGAUGCUGUUUCGCAGAUUUCCGCGUCGACCGUAGGCGUUUCGGCUCGUACGCGACGUAGGAGAGUCAGAUUGCGAUGAAACUUGGUUCGUUGGAUUCAGGACUUCGAGACGAAGCCCAAGAUUGCAGGAUUUGGUGAAGGUUAGCUUGGUCGAACCUUUAUUUUACUCUGCUGUUGCUAUACGUGGACAAAAUUGAUGGAUUUUGAUUGUAGAGCUUGGAGUUAGCUCGAUUUCUGGAUUUGGAGGACUUCGGUUGAUCCAGCAGGUUGUUCCGCAGCUGAGGGGGUUUUUUGCUGCCAGGGAUUAGCUCUCGAGGUGGGUUUUCAUCGGGUUUACUUCUAAGUAAAGAUUAGUAAUCAUGUAUAGUUUCCGAUUGUUUAUACUUCGUACUCGCUUAAAUUCAUUGAGUAGCAUAUUGGCUGAAAUCUGAAUUUGAAGCAUGUGUGGAAUCUAGUUACACUAUACAUGUUGGACAUGGAAAUUUAAUUAGAAGAAAACCAGCGAUUUGGACCUGUCACCUGUUUACACUAUCUGAUUUAGCUCUAGGAGCCGUUGAAAUUUUGUAUCGUCGCAGUAUCGAGGCGACAGGUACCCCAGGUAGUUUAGCUUUCAAUUACGCUCGUGCUGGGAUACCGAGUGUAUUUUUACAGUAGCGUUUAGGCUGUUCCGGACUGUUGGGUGCCGUCGGGGUUGACGGUGGACCCAUAUCGCCAUUUUGGCGUCGGAUUGUGCCGAAGGCACGUGACUGUUGGUUGUUAGACCAGUUAGUGUCGGUUACUUGGACUUUGGCUUGAAAGAGCCUGAUUUAGCUCGACACAGAUACGCUGCAUACUCGGUUGGGUAGCUCCCACGAGUGCCACUCCGGAGACGGGCGCUGUGCUUUCGCGUUGGUGUCGUGCAUACCGAUUACACUUGCUCUCCACGGACUGGUUAGUGUGGAGGUAGUUGGAUAGUCUCAACUGGGCGGGACGGGUGUGUUCACAGUCCCUGGGGCGGGUAUGUUUACAGUCCCUAAAGAGAUUGGGUCAGAAUUGACAUUUCUACAGUAGGUUAGCUUAGAGCAUGAUAGUGUAAUAAAUGGUAGCUGUAGAUUUUAUUCCGGCAUUUAUUAUUACCUUUGCUCCCUUCUGUAGACUUAGUGGGUGGACCGAUAAUGUUGAGGGCGGUACCCACUGAGGACUACUUGUUUUACAGUAGUUCUCACGCCCUAUUGUUAUCCCGUUUUUGUAGAGCCAUCGUCUUCGGCUGCUGCUGUUGCUGAUAAGGAUCGAGGCAAGGGCGUCGCGAGUUAGAGCCCUACCCGACGAGCCAAGCUAGAGGUGCCCCUACAGCAGGUAGUUGUUUUGUUGGAGUUUAUGUACAUACUUAUAUUUAACUCGCUAGUGCGAGUAGUCUUGUACUUUGGAUUUUGGCGUAUGUAUAUGGAACUCGGUUUGUUUUAUUUCUGGUUCUUCUAGCAGCUCUAUACUACUGUUGUAGUAUUGUAUGAUUUACAGGUACAGCUAUCGCUUCGUAUACAGGAAAAAUUUCUUUGUAUACGGUGUAUUUUUCGGCGUGUCCGGAGAACGUGUAAUCCGGGGCGUGACAAAUAGGAUGAAUAGGAAUAAGAUUUUUGGACAUCUUUUUUUUCCUGGUAAUUUUUCAUAGUGCGAACCAAACGCGCCCUUAUAGUUUAAUAAGGAUCAAAACUGUAAUUUAGCCUAGUAUGAAUUCUUAUGGAGCCUUAGCGUGGAGAAAUUCUACACUGUCACACUUGUACCACGUCAUCAAUAACAAGUAAAUCACAUUUCUUCUUUUCAAACAAAAGCAUAAUAAAAAUAUUUUUUUAUAAUCAUGAUGGGACAUAUAUCUCUAAAAGGAGAUAUUUGGUUGAUUUGUUAUGCUACGUCACCAAUAUACCCGUUGCAUUCUAGAAUUUUUACUUAGCCUGAGGGCCUAAGUUCCCGUUUAGUAUUGAUGGUUACUAGUGUAAUGACCCGCGCUUCGCGGCGGGAGGUCUUAAUAUUGAGAGCUAAUAAUAUGACUGUAAUUAUAUUUAUUUAUUACAAAACAUACAGAUAUAUAUAACAUUCACAUUAUGUAAGAUAACUAAAUAUAUACUAUAGAUUAUCUAAUAUGAUGUAAUGUCUUUGAUAAUGCAAAUAUAAUUGAUAAAACAGUUCUUAAAUCAUUAUGGCCUAUCGGUUCCACUUGAUUUCUUGCGGGUGUUAACUUUGCUUGUUCCUUCUCCAGUUUUCGAACUGCGUAAGUAUGAACAAUAUUUCACAUAUAUAUAUNNNNNNNNNNNNNNNNNNNNNNNNNNNNNNNNNNNNNNNNNNNNNNNNNNNNNNNNNNNNNNAUAUAUAUAUAUAUAUAUAUAGAGAGUCCGGCUGCUAUGGUAUUAAUAGCACGAAGCACUUGGUGCUACUAAGUUUUCGCCGUUAGAUCUACCCUUUUGAUCAUUUUCAUCCGUUAAAUCAUACUAUUCAACCAACCACCCACUCAACCCUAGGAAGCCUACAUCAUUCUAACCGCAUAUCUUUUAAUUCAAUGGCCAAAAACUUGGUAGCACCAAUGACUUGGUGCUAUUAAUAGCAUAGUAGCCUAGUUCUAUAUAUAUAUAUA